rnacentral:rRNA from 1 species
GACGAACGCUGGCGGCGUGCUUAACACAUGCAAGUCGAACGGAAAGGCCUGCUUUUGUGGGGUGCUUGAGUGGCGAACGGGGGAGUAACACGUGAGUUACCUGCCCUUUACUUUGGGAUAACUUCAGGAAACUGGGGCUAAUACCGGAUAAGAGCUCCUGCUUCAUGGUGGGGGUUGGAAAGUUUCGGCGGUUGGGGAUGGACUUGCGGCUUAUCAGCUUGUUGGUGGGGUAGUGGCUUACCAAGGCUUUGACGGGUAGCCGGCCUGAGAGGGUGACCGGCCACAUUGGGACUGAGAUACGGCCCAGACUCCUACGGGAGGCAGCAGUGGGGAAUAUUGCACAAUGGGCGGAAGCCUGAUGCAGCAACGCCGCGUGCGGGAUGACGGCCUUCGGGUUGUAAACCGCUUUCGCCUGUGACGAAGCGUGAGUGACGGUAAUGGGUAAAGAAGCACCGGCUAACUACGUG